rnacentral:rRNA from 1 species
GACGAACGCUGGCGGCGUGCCUAAUACAUGCAAGUCGAACGCAGUGGGGACGGGUGAGUAACACCUGGGUAACCUCCCGUCAGAGGGGAUAACACUUGGAAACAGGUGCUAACCCGCUACUGAUGGAUCGACCCGCGGUGCAUUAGCUAGUUGGUGAGGUAACGGCUCACCAAGGCCACGAUGCAUAGCCGGCCUGAGAGGGGGAUCGGCCACAAUGGGACUGAGACACGGCCCAGACUCCUACGGGAGGCAGCAGUAGGGAAUCUUCGGCAAUGGACGAAAGUCUGACCGAGCAACGCCGCGUGAGUGAAGAAGGUCUUCGGAUCGUAAAACUCUGUUGGUAGAGAAGCGUUAUCUAACGAAAAAGCCACGGCUAACUACGUGCCAGCAGCCGCGGUAAUAC